UCUUUCUCCGCCGGCGACCGGCGCACGGGUGAGUAACACGUAUGCAACCUGCCCCUGUCUGGGGGACAACCCGCCGAAAGGCGGGCUAAACCCGCGUACAUGCCACCGGGGCAUCCCGGAGGCAGGAAAGGCUUCGGCCGGACAGGGAUGGGCAUGCGGCGCAUUAGGCAGUAGGCGGGGGUAACGGCCCACCUAACCGACGAUGCGUAGGGGUUCUGAGAGGAAGGUCCCCCACACUGGUACUGAGACACGGACCAGACUCCUACGGGAGGCAGCAG
rnacentral:rRNA from 1 species